AUGUAUACCUCCUUACUACAUUUUUUUUUAAUGGAAACUUAUAGAAUUUUACUUAAUAAGGAAACACUAAAAAACUUUCCUUUUUUGUCCUGUCACUGGCACCUGUACCCAUUUUCAGGUUGGGAACAAAGAGGAGGGUGGCUGGCAGCGUCGGGUUCAGCUCUGAACAGAUAUGAAGGAGAAAAGGUAAGGGCUGGAGCACUGGCAGCCUGGAGGGGGUGUGCGACAGGAAUGGGAAGGAUGGGCUGGGGAACCACUAAGGGAUUUCCCCUCACAAAGCCUCUGUCUGUAUUUGCAAGGAUGAUUGCUGCACAGAUAGAGUAAAAGCUGGUAAAUACCUCAUUCCCCUACCAUUUCCUGCUGGAUACACAGCCUUCCACAUUUUUUUCGGCUUGGCUUAUAUAAACAUAGACUAUUUAUUUUUUACAUCGAUAAAUAUAGACAAAGUUAAGAAAAGUACAUAUACUCAACAGUUAAAAGUGGGGGAGAGGGAAUAGUAGCCGUUUACUUCUGUCCACUCUUCUGUAUGAUGUAGUGUGCUGCUGUUGCUGCUAAGUAGGCAAGAACACUGGAGUGGGCUGCCAUUUCCUUCUCCAAUGCAUGAAAGUGAAAAGUGAAAGUCAAGUCCCUCAGUCGUGUCCGACCCUCAGUGACCCCAUAGACUGUAGCCUUCCAGGCUCCUCCGUCCAUGGGAUUUUCCAGGCAAGAGUCCUGGAGUGGGGUGCCAUUGCCUUCUCCGAUGAUGUAGUAUAUAGUUACUUAAAUCACUCUGGUCUUGAAGCUUGCAUUAGAGAACUCCAGGUGUGUCUGCCUCUAUCCCUACAGGGAAGCUCAAAGGAUUCUAGGUUUUUUCCAGUUUAAACUCCAUUCUGCAGACCAACAUCCUGAAAAACAUCAAGCCUUCUCUAUUGAACGGUGACCACACAAACUUGAGCGUGGCAGAACCAGAGUCCCGAAAACCCUCUACAGAAAAGCAAAAACAUCAUUAAGGUGUCUAAAGUGGCAGGCUGUUUUCUUACUUGCCAAGUGCGAGGACUGGGCAGAAUAAUUUCUAAGGGUGCACCCCAGCCUGAGGCCACCCCCAAGGGAAGGCAGCCUUCCUACCGGGUUACUUCCUACAGUCGCUCUCUCUGGAGCUUGUGGGAUAAAGGUGCAUGGACCAGGCACAGGAGAGGCGUACGGUACCCAUGGCAACAUACUUAGAUUUUUUUUUUAAGCCUAUGUGUUAUUUGGUCCCACUCCCUCUCUCCAUAUCUCCAUUUUCCCCCCUCUGUUGAGAUGUUCCCAUUGCUAAGUUCAGGUGAGUCAAACGGGAAGAUCCCCGUUGCCAGUAUCCCUACAGGUGGAGGACAAGAUGCCGCUCCAACCACACCUCCUGGACGAAGCUGCCCCUGCAUGUCGAUUCUCCAAAGCGCCGGCGCGGGGGCCCCGGCUAAGCCGAAACUACAGAAGCCCCCGGCCCCCCGCCCGCCCGCCCCCCCGCCCCCGGGGCCGCCGCGACAAUGGCGGCGGCACCACUUCCCGGUCAAGAGCUCGCCGCUUCUGGAUGGGAAGGGAGCAAGGAACUGAGCGCAUGACCCGGGCCACCUCCGGAACCUCUCCGAGCCUCGCUACCAUCCCGCUCAGCCCGGGAGGUGGGGGACGGG
ensembl:lincRNA